rnacentral:lncRNA from 1 species
CUGGUUUUCAAUCCUUGAAAAUAACGGGAAUAUAAAAAGUGCACACGUUCCUUAAUAUUUUGUAAGUAUUUACCUACAGUCUCAACUACAGCUUGGCUUAGGGAACCUUCACAACAAGACAGUAAGGAAUAGCGGCAUUUUUAUCAAAGUGGGUCUACAUUAGUCCAAGGAAUUUAGUGACUCCUCUGAAAGCACCCCUCGGCUCUGUGGGGAUCAAGAGGAGCGAGAAGGGGGCGCAGUGCAUACUGGGUAUUGUAGUUCCUGCGCAAAGGAGGGGGGGCAUGGUGUUGCGUAGCACUCUGGGAGUUGAAGUCCACUUGUCCAGUGGGAGCUCAAAGAAGGCAUACUGUGAAUUGUCCGUCAGAGUCACCAGUUACAGGUUGAUGCUUUCUCUUGGCUCUGCGCUUGCCGUAUUGGUGGCCGAAGGGCUGGCGUGGCGAAGAGUGGGGAAAAAGAAUGAGGUGGAGCAUGGGUCUGUUGGUUGCAGAUAUUGCUACAACAAAUCAGAAGGCUUUCGUGCCCCGGAAGUGGCUGACCUACUCGGUUCGAAGGGGAGGCCUUUCCUCUUACUACGGUGGCCGGGGAGCUCGGGUCCCUGUGGCAGCGGCGCUGAGGUCGGAGCGGCUGCUUUUGGGGCGGCUUCUGCUAGAGCUGGAACACUUCCCGGUACCCUGAUUGAGGCCUCAUUUCCACUCAUUUGA